rnacentral:misc_RNA from 1 species
CGGGAGGAGCUACCCUGUAGGGCUUCUGCCCCGCGGGUCCUCCCGCCGCCCGCCGGCGGCCUUCUGAACUCUGUUUUAUAGUGGAACUUCUGAGGAUUAUACUUAAUAAGUUAAAACUUUCAACAACGGAUCUCUUGGUUCUGGCAUCGAUGAAGAACGCAGCGAAAUGCGAUAAGUAAUGUGAAUUGCAGAAUUCAGUGAAUCAUCGAAUCUUUGAACGCACAUUGCGCCCAUUAGUAUUCUAGUGGGCAUGCCUGUUCGAGCGUCAUUUCAAACCAUCAAGCCCUAUUUUUUGCUUGGUGUUGGGAGAUUUCUGGGCCGACGCGCCCUGGAACUCCUCAAAUCUAUCGGCGGAGUCGUGUUGACCCCAAGCGUAGUAACUAAUCUUCUCGCUUCAAGGGCUGACACGGGCUUGCGCCCCGCUAAACCCCACCAUUUUUUUUUUUAGNCUUGACCUCGGAUCA